AUCCAGACUCCUACGGGAGGCAGCAGUGAGGAAUAUUGGUCAAUGGGCGAGAGCCUGAACCAGCCAAGUCGCGUGAGGGAAGACUGCCCUAUGGGUUGUAAACCUCUUUUGUCAGGGAGCAACGCCGGCUACGUGUAGCCGGACUGAGAGUACCUGAAGAAAAAGCAUCGGCUAACUACGUGCCAGCAGCCGCGGUAAUACGUAGGGGGCGAGCGUUGUCCGGAAUCACUGGGCGUAAAGGGCGCGUAGGCGGUAAUAUAAGUCAGAUGUGAAAGGUGGGGGCUCAACCCCUAGAGUGCAACUGAUACUGUAUAACUUGAGUGUGAGAGAGGGAAGCGGAAUUCCUAGUGUAGCGGUGAAAUGCGUAGAUAUUAGGAGGAACACCAGUGGCGAAGGCGGCUUUCUGGCUCAUAACUGACGCUGAGGCGCGAAAGCGUGGGGAGCAAACAGGAUUAGAUACCCGAGUAAC
rnacentral:rRNA from 1 species